rnacentral:rRNA from 1 species
UACGUAGGGUGCAAGCGUUGUCCGGAAUUAUUGGGCGUAAAGAGCUCGUAGGCGGUUUGUUGCGUCGGCUGUGAAAUCCCGAGGCUCAACCUCGGGUCUGCAGUCGAUACGAGCAAACUAGAGUGUUGCAGGGGAGACUGGAAUUCCUGGUGUAGCGGUGAAAUGCGCAGAUAUCAGGAGGAACACCGGUGGCGAAGGCGGGGUCUCUGGGGCAAAC